rnacentral:rRNA from 1 species
UACGGAGGGUGCAAGCGUUAUCCGGAUUUACUGGGCUUAAAGGGUGCGUAGGUGGGUUGGUAAGUCAGUGGUGAAAUACUUUCGCUUAACGAAGGAACUGCCAUUGAUACUAUCAAUCUUGAAUACAGUGGAGGUGGGCGGAAUGCGUCAUGUAGUGGUGAAAUACUUAGAUAUGACGCAGAACACCUAUUGCGAAGGCAGCUCGCUACACUGUUAUUGACACUGAGGCACGAAAGCGUGGGGAUCAAACAGG